CAAUAGCGUAUAUUAAAGUUGUUGCGGUUAAAAAGCUCGUAGUUGGAUUUCUGCCGAGGACGACCGGUCCGCCCUCCGGGUGAGUAUCUGGCUCGGCCUGGGCAUCUUCUUGGAGAACGUAGCUGCACUUGGCUGUGUGGUGCGGUAUUCAGGACUUUUACUUUGAGGAAAUUAGAGUGUUUCAAGCAGGCACACGCCUUGAAUACAUUAGCAUGGAAUAAUAAGAUAGGACCUCGGUUCUAUUUUGUUGGUUUCUAGAUCUGAGGUAAUGAUUAAUAGGGAUAGUUGGGGGCAUUCGUAUUUAACUGUCGGAGGUGAAAUUCUUGGAUUUGUUAAAGACGGACUACUGCGAAAGCAUUUGCCAAGGAUGUUUUCAUUGA
rnacentral:rRNA from 1 species